rnacentral:misc_RNA from 1 species
CGCAGCCGCGGUAAUUCCAGCUCCAAUAGCGUAUAUUAAAGUUGUUGCAGUUAAAAAGCUCGUAGUUGAAUUUCGGGAUCAAUAUAUCGGUCGUGCCUUGGUACGUACUGGUAUCAUUGGUUUCUCCUUUCUGACGAACCAUGAUGUCAUUAAUUUGGUGUUAUGGGAAGUUAGGACUGUUACUUUGAAAAAAUUAGAGUGUUUAAAGCAGGCUUUAGCUUGAAUACAUUAGCAUGGAAUAAUGAAAUAGGACGUUCGAACCUAUUUUGUUGGUUUCUAGGAUCAACGUAAUGAUUAAUAGGGAUAGUUGGGGGCAUUAGUAUUCAAUUGUCAGAGGUGAAAUUCUUGGAUUUAUUGAAGACUAACUACUGCGAAAGCAUUUGCCAAGGAUGUUUUCAUUAAUCAAGAACGAAAGUUAGGGGAUCGAAGACGAUCAGAUACCGUCGUAGUCUUAACCAUAAACUAUGCCGACUAGGGAUCGGAUGAUGUUAAUUUUUUAAUGACUCAUUCGGCGCCUUAC